GACGAACGCUGGCGGCGUGCUUAACACAUGCAAGUCGAACGGAAAGGCCCUGCUUUUGUGGGGUGCUCGAGUGGCGAACGGGUGAGUAACACGUGAGUAACCUGCCCUUGACUUUGGGAUAACUUCAGGAAACUGGGGCUAAUACCGGAUAGGAGCUCCUGCUGCAUGGUGGGGGUUGGAAAGUUUCGGCGGUUGGGGAUGGACUCGCGGCUUAUCAGCUUGUUGGUGGGGUAGUGGCUUACCAAGGCUUUGACGGGUAGCCGGCCUGAGAGGGUGACCGGCCCACUUGGGCCGGAAGUCGGGCCCGCACACCUCCGGGGGGAAGGGGGGGGGAAUUUUCAAAAAGGGGCGGAACGCAUUUGGAGCAACCCGCGGGGCGGGAUGAGGGCCUUCGGUUUGGAACCCGCUUUCCCUUGUAAGGAAGCGUGAGGACCGGAAAGGGAGAAAAAGGCCCCGGCAACCUCCGG
rnacentral:rRNA from 1 species